rnacentral:lncRNA from 1 species
GCCAUCAUCAAACCACUCAGUCUUCUAUCAUACUCUGCAUUGGCCCUGAGAAGUCACUGGAAAUUUUAAAUAUCGAUUCCAAAUACACACUGGGGUUUAUAUUUCAUAAUUUAAGAGGCAAGAUUUUUCUCCUCAACUCAAUGAAUGAAUACUGCCAUCGGAAAUAUCUGACCUUGAUUGAUUACUGCUACUAAAGAGAAAUUUAAAACUAGACAUUGUCUUCAAGCACCUAAGUGGAAAGGAUUGAGCCUCUUAUGCCACACACAUGUCAUGAAGCUCUCCAUCCACACAGCUUCACUGCUUUCCAGAAGUAGCAAGUGUUUAUUGAAGGCUAACCUGAAUCUCGCCUCCUGGGCUCUAGAAGACGAGGAUGCGUCUAUGAAUCAUCAAAGGGAUGUCUAUGUUAUUGGAAAGGCAUAUAAGCACAAACCUUUUGGAUUAUAUUUGUAUGCUAAAAUAUUAAGAAGCAAUAAUUCCCAUGAAGGAACCUUGAAGCAGGAAAGAUGUUGGAAAGUGAACAGAGCAAUUCUGGAGAUGCUCAGAGAAGCCACUGCAAGGAGAGGGCAUUUGAACAGAGAGGACAG